rnacentral:lncRNA from 1 species
UAAUGACUGCCACCAGCCAAAGCAUCAUCGGCAUCUCCAGCCUCCUCUUUGGAGUCACCUUUUAAAGGUUCUGACAUCUGAGUUUUACCAUCAUCGGCCAAAGCAUCAUCGACAUCUCCAGCCUCCUCUUCGGAGCCACCUUUUAAAGGUUCUGACAUCUGAGUUUUACCAUCAGCCGCCAAAGCAUCAUCGACAACUCCAGCCUCCUCUCUGGAGUCGCCUUUUAAAGGUUCUGACAUCUGAGUUUUACCGUCAGCACAUCUUUCAGCUUCCUCAACGCUAUUGGUUUCCAUGGGAU